UACGAAGGGGGCUAGCGUUACUCGGAUUUACUGGGCGUAAAGGGCGCGUAGGCGGUUUGUUCAGUCAGACGUGAAAUUCCUGGGCUCAACCUGGGGGCUGCGUUUGAUACGUGCAGACUUGAGUUCGGAAGAGGGUCGUGGAAUUCCCAGUGUAGAGGUGAAAUUCGUAGAUAUCAGGAGGAACACCGGUGGCGAAGGCGGGUCUCUGGGCCGAAACUGACGCUGAGGCGCGAAAGCUAGGGGAGCAAACGGG
rnacentral:rRNA from 1 species